UUUUAAGAUUUGGUAGUUUACCAAAAUUUUCAAAAAUCUGAUAAUUUCUUUGAGGGGAUUUGGGCUAUUGUGAGUAUAUUUCUACAAA
ensembl:ncRNA C56E6.13 ncRNA